UACGAAGGGGGCUAGCGUUGCUCGGAAUCACUGGGCGUAAAGCGCACGUAGGCGGCUUCUUAAGUCAGGGGUGAAAUCCUGGAGCUCAACUCCAGAACUGCCUUUGAUACUGAGGAGCUUGAGUCCGGGAGAGGUGAGUGGAAUUCCUGGUGUAGCGGUGAAAUGCGCAGAUAUCAGGAGGAACACCUAUUGCGAAGGCAGCUCGCUGGGACGUAACUGACGCUGAGACGCGAAAGCGUGGGGAGCAAACAGG
rnacentral:rRNA from 1 species